UACAGAGGCCUCGAGCGUUAGGCGGAAUCACUGGGCUUAAAGCGUGUGUAGGCGGACUUCUAAGUGCCUUGUGAAAUCCCACGGCUCACCCGUGGAACUGCUGGGUAUACUGGUCGUCUUGAGCCACCUAGGGGCCAGCGGAACAAAUGGUGGAGCGGUGAAAUGCGUAGAUAUCAUUUGGAACGCCAACGGUGAAAACAGCUGGCUGGGGGUGUGCUGACGCUGAGACACGAAAGCCAGGGGAGCGAACGGG
rnacentral:rRNA from 1 species